GCCUACAGCCAUACCACCCUGAAUGCACCCGAUCUCGUCUGAUCUCGGAAGUUAAGCAGGGUCGGGCCUGGUUAGUACUUGGAUGGGAGAAGGGAAAAGAAUGGGAUAUCAAAGUUA
rnacentral:rRNA from 1 species